UACAGAGGUCUCAAGCGUUGUUCGGAUUCAUUGGGCGUAAAGGGGUGCGUAGCGGCGCGGUAAGUCGGGUGUGAAAUCUUGGAGCUUAACUCCGAAACUGCAUUCGAUACUGCCGUGCUUGAGGACUGGAGAGGAGACUGGAAUUUACGGUGUAGCGGUGAAAUGCGUAGAUAUCGUAAGGAAGACCAGUGGCGAAGGCGGGUCUCUGGACAGUUCCUGACGCUGAGGCACGAAGGUCAGGGGGAGCAAACGGG
rnacentral:rRNA from 1 species